CAAGACUAAACCAAAAAAGAGAAGGGAUGAAAGAUAAGAGUGGCUUCAGGCGUGUAUCAAGCCAACCAAAUCCCUUCUCCUCCUCUCUCUCUCUCCACCCAAAACAAAACUACUGUCCCCAACUUCCCAAAUUGCCUCUCUGCAGGCCAGGAAACUCUCCACCUCCCUUCCGUCAAGGGGGAAGACUCGUAGCCUUCCAUCAAGGGGGAAGCUCCAGUUCCUGUUUUCACAUGGGGCCUUUGCUUUCUUUUGGUCACGCCUCCCGGAGGCCCUCCAUUGGCCUGAGGCCUUAG
rnacentral:lncRNA from 1 species